rnacentral:rRNA from 1 species
UGAGGAAUAUUGGGCAAUGGGCGCAAGCCUGACCCAGCCAUGCCGCGUGAAGGAUGAAUGCCCUAUGGGUUGUAAACUUCUUUUGUACGGGACAAAACUCUCGGUCGUGACCGGGAUUGAUGGUACUGUAUGAAUAAGCAUCGGCUAACUCCGUGCCAGCAGCCGCGGUAAUACGGAGGAUGCGAGCGUUAUCCGGAUUCAUUGGGUUUAAAGGGUGCGUAGGCGGAAUAAUAAGUCAGUGGUGAAAGCUUGCGGCUUAACCGUAAAAUUGCCGUUGAUACUGUUAUUCUUGAGUAUAGUUGAAGUGGGCGGAAUGUGUAAUGUAGCGGUGAAAUGCUUAGAUAUUACACAGAACACCAAUUGCGAAGGCAGCUCACUAAGCUGUUACUGACGCUGAGGCACGAAAGCGUGGGGAGCAAACAGG